AUGGCUAUGUCCCAGAUCAGCAGCCCUGUGUUUAUGUCUGAUUACUCUUAUUUGUACAGAGAUGAAAAUAAUAUUUUCCCCAUUCUCCUUAACAGUUUCGCAAGCUGGCAUUUUUGUGGGUGGUUGUGUGAUGUCGCUGAAUGUCAGAGCCCUGGAAACACAGAUGCUACUGCUACUGUUUCAUCUCUAGGAUACCAAACACCAGAGAUGGGGACAGCAAUAUCCACUUUCCCGAGUAAAAGGAGGCCAAAUGAGGUAACAACAUAUGUGAUGUACUUCAAGCCGGAGCCCUGGACGCAUGUAAAACCAAUAAGAUUAAAUUUCCUGUCCCCUGAAGCUUCCAGCUUCCGUGCCUCCUGUCUCCUGCACCCGGCUCAGAAACCAGAGUGGCUUUCCUUGAAGUGA
rnacentral:lncRNA from 1 species